GAAAUCACGGAAUCUAACACACACAGUGUUGUCUUAUUCAUCUGUUUUGAUACAACGAAGCGUCCCUGCCGCGACGCACACAAAUCUGAUUUCAAGAUUAGAGCGUGAACUUGUCACAAAGCAAAAAGCAACUUAACUUUCCGGAACUUUCGAGCUUCUUCACGGGCGCAUGGUGUAUGGCCUAUGUCUCAGUUGCAGGCCAGCAAGCACCUGCCUGGCGCCGCUAUGCCUGCCUCAACCGAAAAAAGCCACCCAAAAGUGGGCAGCGUCGGCCGCCGACAAACACCAUGCGAUGCAUGUAAUAUGUUUUGUCCACGUGUCUAUAUAUUGCUGCCUGCGGACACGCCUAUUGCGUGGGAUGUGCUGUCGUUCAACAGGAAGAACACAGUGUCGGCCGCCGACUAACACCAUGCGAUGCAUGUAAUGUUUUGUCCACGUGUCUAUAUAUUGCUGCCUGCGGACACGCCUAUUGCGUGGGAUGUGCUGUCGUUCAACAGGAAGAACACGGUCAACUCCGUGUUAUGUGCAACAAGUGCAAACGGAGAGUGAUUGCAAACCUCAUUGAGAUGAAGGACCAAUUGGUCGUGCGCGAUCUACCUUUUGCAUUGUGCCCCGGUCGGGUCCUCGUGAUGUCUGUAACAUGUUUUCUCCACGAGUGUAUCUCUGCGCAUGCGGGCAUGCCUUCUGUACUGGAUGCGCAAUUGUUCACAAAGAGGAAGAAGGUGCAGGGUUGAAGGCGUUCUGUCUCGAAUGCAAAAAAAAAGUCACUACUGAUCUUAUCGAGAUAAAGCUAAGUUUGCUUCGACAGAUGCGUUUCGUGUGUUCCCGCGGAAGGGAGGGGACGCUCGAGCAAAUAAAGGAGCAUCUGUGGGAGUCUGCAGAGUCUCACAAUGUGACUGACGUAGCCUCAAGAGGAUCAAUAGAUGGUCCGUUUGGAGCGGAGAGCUUACUUCACAGUUUACGCGAUGAGGUGCUAAGUCUGAAAUUGCAACUACGCACUCUGGUUGGCGUAGCAACCAAGAAAUACUUCUGGGUCGAUUUGCAGAAGAUCAUAGACGAACACGAGAAGUAGAGACAGAAGACCAUCACGAGUAACGUUGAGCCCUGGGAGGUGUGCGGAUACGCCUGCGGAUUCUUCUGUCAAAUCAGCGAACAUGACACAAUGAGUGUUAUGUCGACGUGUCCGUCAGGACCAUGUCUAAUAACACUUCGCUCUCACCGUGGCC